UUUGGGGCACAGAGGCCCGGGCUGCCACUGCCCCAGAGCACCUUUCUCAGGAGGCAGCAGCGGCCUGAGAGCCCCUGCAGGAAAGCAUGACAGAGACACCCAACGGGGAGAAGGGCUCUGGAGAAUUGUCGUCGUCCCUCAUUACUGCACAGAGGCUCAAAGCAACCAACACCAUUCCUGCAGGAGGACAUCCAAUAAAAGAUGCUGAUUUGCCA